rnacentral:rRNA from 1 species
AUACACUGUCUCAUAUAUAUUUCACUAACUUAAAAUUUUAAUUAAAAUGUUAAAAUUUUUUUAUGGGACGAUAAGACCCUAUAGAAUUUUAUAUUGUUACAUCUUAAUAGUUAAUAUAAAAAAUGUAACAACAUUUGGUUGGGAGGACUAUUAAAUUUUAUGAACUUUAAUUUCUGAUAACUUUAAUUAAAGAAAAUUCUUAAUGAUCUUCAAGUUGAAAUAGCUAGACUAAAUUACCUUAGGGAUAACAGCGUAAUAUUUUUUUAUAGAUCGUAUAGAAAAAAGUGAUUGCGACCUCGAUGUUGAAUUAAGAUAAAUUUUAAACGCAGGAGUUUAAUAAUUAAGUCUGUUCGACUUUUAAAAUCUU